AUAACAAACAGUUGUUAACACCAUUUUUACUAAACUAGUUUUUUUUUUCUUACUGCUGUACCUGUAGGUACCCAGUAUUUACAGAAGUAUUUAGAAUAUCAGUCAAUUCUUGUUCCUCAUAGUCUUGUCUUCUUCCUCUUGCACCUACAUCUAAGCUGAGCCCACAGUUCGUCAGUGCAGUCGCUUAUUACGACCCACAGCUACGUUUUGUUGUGACGGGAACAAAGUAGAUGACGUAAUGUAAACAACGAGGACACUGACGUUCCAGCGGGAGAACGUUCCACAACGUUGACUGCGUGUUUAUUGUUUCCACGACGACGACGAAGCUCUGAUAACUCCCUAUAGGCCGACCUAGGUUGGAGGACUUGUUGCUAAAUUAUUGUCAGGCCAAGCUGUCUAUUGUGUAAAUAUUACACAUUACACCUGUUUUAUUGUCCUCCAACUGCGCGUGUCACGACUACCAGAGGUAAAAGUUAAAUUAGCUUAAUUAGCUCAAGAUGGACAAUAAGGCUGAGACUGAUUCAACCCAGCAGAGUGGGAACAUGUUGUUUGAUGAGUUUUAAACUGAUUCUCUUUAUGUCACAGAACAUUCACAUCACUGAGAUCAGUCUCCUCACAGUGCUCCAACUGUUCACGGGUCGUUGGGGAGCUGGAGCUGAUCCCAGCUGGGGGAGUGGCGGAGUACAUCCCAAACAGGUCAUCAGUUCUGCGUCUUUCAGUCACUUUCACCUUUAUAAAUAGCUGCUGCAGCCAAAAUGGUGUCUCUGUGCAGCAUCGACCUCCUGUUCCAAGCACAGUUACUCUCACCCAUUCCUGCACAGUGGAAAUAAAAGCUCAGGUCCAGACUAACAGAUGUGAAAGGUUCAGCAGAUGAACGGAGGCUCAGACAUUUCACCUUGUAAAUCCGUCAUGACUUCAAUGAUUCCUGGAUAAUGAACCUGAACGUCGUCGAUAUCCUGGAACACAAACAGAGGGAGG